rnacentral:rRNA from 1 species
AUUGAACGCUGGCGGAAUGCUUUACACAUGCAAGUCGAACGGUAGAGGGGGCAACCCCUUGAGAGUGGCGAACGGGUGAGUAAUAUAUCGGAACGUGCCCAGUCGUGGGGGAUAACGUAGCGAAAGUUACGCUAAUACCGCAUACGAUCUAAGGAUGAAAGCGGGGGACCGUAAGGCCUCGCGCGAUUGGAGCGGCCGAUAUCAGAUUAGCUAGUUGGUGGGUAAAGGCCCACCAAGGCGACGAUCUGUAGCUGGUCUGAGAGGACGACCAGCCACACUGGGACUGAGACACGGCCCAGACUCCUACGGGAGGCAGCAGUGGGGAAUUUUGGACAAUGGGCGCAAGCCUGAUCCAGCAAUGCCGCGUGCAGGAAGAAGGCCUUCGGGUUGUAAACGUGCUUUGUUACGGAACGAAAAGGUCUGGGUUAAUACCUGGGCUCAUGACGGUACCGUAAGAAUAAG